rnacentral:rRNA from 1 species
UACGGGGGGGAGCAAACGUUGUUCGGAAUCACUGGGCGUAAAGAGCUCGUAGGCGGUUUGUCGCGUCGAAUGUGAAAACCCGGGGCUCAACCCCGGGCCUGCAUUCGAUACGGGCAGACUAGAGUUCGGUAGGGGGAGUCUGGAAUUCCUGGUGUAGCGGUGAAAUGCGCAGAUAUCAGGAGGAACACCGGUGGCGAAGGCGGGUCUCUGGGCAACUACUGACGCUGAGGAGCGAAAGCGUGGGGAGCGAACAGG